GACGAACGCUGGCGGCGUGCUUAACACAUGCAAGUCGAGCGGUAAGGCCCUUUCGGGGGUACACGAGCGGCGAACGGGUGAGUAACACGUGGGCGACCUGCCCUCAGCUCUGGGAUAAGCCUGGGAAACUGGGUCUAAUACCGGAUAUGACCACAUGUCGCAUGGUGUGUGGUGGAAAGUUUUUCGGCUGGGGAUGGGCCCGCGGCCUAUCAGCUUGUUGGUGGGGUGAUGGCCUACCAAGGCGACGACGGGUAGCCGGCCUGAGAGGGCGACCGGCCACACUGGGACUGAGAUACGGCCCAGACUCCUACGGGAGGCAGCAGUGGGGAAUAUUGCGCAAUGGGCGGAAGCCUGACGCAGCGACGCCGCGUGGGGAUGACGGCCU
rnacentral:rRNA from 1 species